rnacentral:rRNA from 1 species
CCUACGGGCGGCAGCAGUGAGGAAUCUUGGUCAAUGGGCGCGAGCCUGAACCAGCCACGUCGCGUGAGGGAAGACGGUCCUAUGGUUUGUAAACCUCUUUUGUCGGGGAGCAAAAGACGCCACGUGUGGCGUCCCGAGAGUACCCGAACAAAAAGCAUCGGCUAACUCCUUGCCAUCCGCCGCGGUACUACGGGGGAUGCGAGCGUUAUCGGGAUUUAUUGGGUUUAAGGGGUGCGCAGGGGGGAGAUCAGGUCAGCGGUAAAAUUGAGAGGCUCAACCUCGUCGAGCCGUUGAAACUGGUAUACUUGAGUGAAGGAGAGGUAUGCGGAAUGCGUGGUGUAGCGGUGAAAUGCAUAGAUAUAACGCAGAACUCCGAUGGCGAAGGCAGCAUACCGGCGCUCAACUGACGCUCAUGCACGAAAGUGUGGGUAUCGAACAGGAUUAGAUACCCUUGUAGUC